CUGGGCUUGCUUUCUCUAAUAUUGUUGCUGGGUGCUAAGGUUACAACAGCAAACAAGACUGACUCAUUCCUUUUCUCCACGGGACUUACUGUCUUAUCAUCCCCUGGACUCAAGAUGAGGGUGCAGGGACGCCCUCCCACACCACCCCAGCUUACCCAGGGCACACCUCAGGGUGCGUAGACCUGCACAAAGGUCCCCUCCUUAGCCCCAUGAGACACCCCAGGGGACACACAGGUCCACAGAUCCUGCCACAGGCCUGGGAAGCCACUGGCAGGAGAGUAAGACAGCGCAGGGGUCCACAAACAUUUCUUAAAGGGCCAGAGAGUAAAUACUUCAGGCUUUGCGGGCCACAGGUUCUCUGUUGCAAAACGCGAUUCUGCUAUUGCAGCUCAAAGGCGGCUGUAGACAACUCAGAAGGCAAUGAGUGUGUUGUGUCCC
rnacentral:lncRNA from 10 species